rnacentral:rRNA from 1 species
GGGGAAUAUUGCACAAUGGGCGCAAGCCUGAUGCAGCCAUGCCGCGUGUAUGAAGAAGGCCUUAUGGUUGUAAAGCACUUUAAGCGAGGAGGAGGCUACUUUAGUUAAUACCUAGAGAUAGUGGACGUUACUCGCAGAAUAAGCACCGGCUAACUCUGUGCCAGCAGCCGCGGUAAUACAGAGGGUGCGAGCGUUAAUCGGAUUUACUGGGCGUAAAGCGUGCGUAGGCUGCUUAUUAAGUCGGAUGUGAAAUCCCCGAGCUUAACGUGGGAAUUGCAUUCGAUACUGGUGAGCUAGAGUAUGGGAGAGGAUGGUAGAAUUCCAGGUGUAGCGGUGAAAUGCGUAGAGAUCUGGAGGAAUACCGAUGGCGAAGGCAGCCAUCUGGCCUAAUACUGACGCUCAGGUGCGAAAGCGUGGGGAGCAAAC